GGUUGCGAUCAUACCAGCACUAAUGCACCGGAUCCCAUCAGAACUACGCAGUUAAGCGUGCUUGGGCGAGAGUAGUACUAGGAUGGGUGACCCCCUGGGAAGUCCUCGUGUUGCAACCCC
rnacentral:rRNA from 1 species